GUUAAUGAGUCUUACAAUAAGAACAUCAUUGAUCCCACAUUCCCAUAGACCCUACUUGUUUUGGUCCUGAUCCAUCAAAUCACUUUAACAUGUAUGCAACUUUAAAUACAUGAGAUAUCCCACUCAAGAGAAUGAGUCAUGUGCUUAAGGUUAUUCAUGGACUUAAGAACUGCACAAGAGGUGCUUUGUCUCCAGAGGCUCACUGGUUAUUAGAGAGAGCACAUAUACACAGACAAAUAGAUAUAGAUAUAGAUAUAGAUAUAUAUGCACAUUGCAGGCUAUGCAUACCUCCUUGGAAGCCAUGCUCAAGAAUAAAAAUAACAAAUAAAAUCCUCAAGUCUUCAUAUACCAUAAGUUAUGACUUCUGAUUAUUUAAAACCAUGAGAAGAUAACUGGAUAAAGAUGCACUGGACAAGAGAUUCAGGGAGCUCUCAUGAAUAUUAACUGCUCACCCUAGGAUGUUAUUUGCCUUCUCCUUCACCCCUUCUUUCUCUUGCAUAUACUUUCAACCCGUGCCAUUAACAGCAGCAGUAGAAGAAGUGUCCCCAUAGCAGUGAGUACCUACCUGCACAGAUAAUGAAAAAUGGGUGCCUGCCACAGACAGGUCACAGCCUGGCUUUCUGAAGGGACAAAACAGAUGAUGGAAAGAGACAAAUCGUGGUGACAUCCACAGACUCAGCACACUGUAAUGCAUGUGAACCAUGAAAGACCUAUGAACAUCAGAUCUUCAUGUCCUUCAAAGGACCAUGGUGUCAGCAAGAAACCAGGUACAGAAUAAGUUUCUGCAGAUAUGCUCGCAGUCUGAGAUAUUCAACGCGACCUUUCAAUUGAGUAGACCACUUCUGAGAAUAGCUUUCACUCACAAUGUAGUAUUCAAAGCCUAACAGUGAUUUGUAGAAGAAACAUACUACUUGCUCUCUGUUUCAACCAAUCCAAAGCAUGCAAGGCUAUUCCUUGGCUGGUAGUUGUACAAUUUUCACACAUAAGAAUACGACAUCUUAUUGAAUUCAUCUGAAACUGUGUCUUAAAUUCCCACUAACAUUGGACAGGAAAAUAAAGGGUU